GAUGAACGCUGGCGGCGUGCCUAAUACAUGCAAGUCGAGCGAACAGACGAGGAGCUUGCUCCUCUGACGUUAGCGGCGGACGGGUGAGUAACACGUGGAUAACAUACCUAUAAGAAUGGGAUAACUUCGGGAAACCGGAGCUAAUACCGGAUAAUAUAUUGAACCGCAUGGUUCCAUAGUGAAAGACGGUUUUGCUGUCACUUAUAGAUGGAUCAGCGCCGCAUUAGCUAGUUGGUAAGGUAACGGAUUACCAAGGCAACGAUGCGUAGCCGACCUGAGAGAGUGAUCGGCCACACUGGAACUGAGACACAGUCCAGACUCCUACGGGAGGCAGCAGUAGAGAAUCUUCCGCAAUGGGCGAGAGCCUGACGGAGCAACGCCGCGUGAGGGAUGAAGGUCUUAUGAUCGUAAAACUCUGUUAUUAGGAAAGAACUAAUGUGUAAGUAACUAUGCACGUCUUGACGGUACCUAAUCAGAAAGCCACGGCUAACUACGUG
rnacentral:rRNA from 1 species